UACGGAAGGUCCGGGCGUUAUCCGGAUUUAUUGGGUUUAAAGGGAGCGCAGGCGGGAGGUUAAGCGUGACGUGAAAUGUAGCCGCUCAACGGCUGAUGUGCGUCGCGAACUGUCCUUCUUGAGUGGGUACGACGUCAGCGGAAUUCGUGGUGUAGCGGUGAAAUGCUUAGAUAUCACGAAGAACCCCGAUUGCGAAGGCAGCUGGCGAGUCCCUUACUGACGCUAAAGCUCGAAGGUGCGGGUAUCGAAC
rnacentral:rRNA from 1 species